GGCUCGAUGAGGACUUCUCAGAGGGAAGAUGCAGUUCGUGACCCUAACCGAGCUAACAGGGAAGGGGGUCUGUUCCGGUGAGCUGCCAACGCUGCUAGUCACAGCCCAGAAUCAAGAGAUUGAACCCAAAAUUCAGUGAGGGCGAGAAGUACGCCCGCCAGCAAAGAGUGGAGCUUGGAAGAGACUACGGGUUAUGGCUUCCCAUGAUCCUGCAAUCCUUGCUGCAACAAGGCUGAUGACUUCAGGUCAACCUGCAACUAGCUGUCAAUCGCCUAAAACUCCUGGAAAAAAGGAAAAUGGGUCACAUGAGCUGUUAAGCCCUCAAAAAACUGAAAAACCGAUGAUCUCUGAUUAUGAGGAG